GUACUGAUGAAGGGUCCAAAACUAGGACGAAACAGCUGUCUAGUAC
rfam:Trichobilharzia regenti genome assembly, scaffold: TRE_scaffold0024980